GACGAACGCUGGCGGCGUGCUAAACACAUGCAAGUCGAACGAUGAACCCGGAGCUUGCUCCGGCGGAUUAGUGGCGAACGGGUGAGUAACACGUGAGUAACCUGCCCUUGACUCUGGAAUAACUGCUAGAAAUGGUAGCUAAUACCGGAUACGACCCUCGGUGGCAUCACCAGGGGGUGGAAAGAAUUUCGGUCAAGGAUGGACUCGCGGCCUAUCAGCUAGUUGGUGAGGUAACGGCUCACCAAGGCGACGACGGGUAGCCGGCCUGAGAGGGUGACCGGCCACACUGGGACUGAGACACGGCCCAGACUCCUACGGGAGGCAGCAGUGGGGAAUAUUGCACAAUGGGCGCAAGCCUGAUGCAGCAACGCCGCGUGAGGGAUGACGGCCUUCGGGUUGUAAACCUCUUUUAGUAGGGAAGAAGCGAAAGUGACGGUACCUGCAGAAAAAGCACCGGCUAACUACGUGCCAGCCGCCGCGGUAA
rnacentral:rRNA from 1 species